rnacentral:rRNA from 1 species
CCUACGGGUGGCAGCAGUGGGGAAUAUUGGGCAAUGGGCGCAAGCCUGACCCAGCAAUGCCGCGUGAAGGAAGAAGGCUUUCGGGUUGUAAACUUCUUUGACAGGGGAAGAGCAGAAGACGGUACCCUGAAAACAAGCCACGGCUAACUACGUGCCAGCAGCCGCGGUAAUACGUAGGUGGCAAGCGUUAUCCGGAAUUAUUGGGGGUAAAGGGUGCGUAGACGGAAGAACAAGUUGGUUGUGAAAUCCCUCGGCUCAACUGAGGAACUGCAACCAAAACUAUUCUCCUUGAGUGUCGGAGAGGAAAGUGGAAUUCCUGGUGUAGCGGUGAAAUGCGUAGAUAUUAGGAGGAACACCAGUGGCGAAGGCGACUUUCUGGACGAUAACUGACGUUGAGGCACGAAAGUGUGGGGAGCAAACAGGAUUAGAUACCCCUGUAGUC